GGACUACACGGGUAUCUAAUCCUGUUUGCUCCCCACGCUUUCGUGCUUCAGUGUCAGUACAUGGCCAGUGAGCCGCCUUCGCCACCGGUGUUCCUCCAGAUAUCUACGUAUUUCACCACUACACCUGGAAUUCCACUCACCUCUCCAGUACUCAAGCCUUGUAGUAUCAGAAGCACUUCCCGGGUUGAGCCCGGGGAUUUCACAACUGACUAUCAAGGCCACCUACGCACCCUUUACGCCCAAUAAUUCCGAACAACGCUAGGAUCCCUCGUAUUACCGCGGCUGCUGGCAC
rnacentral:rRNA from 1 species